rnacentral:misc_RNA from 1 species
UCCCUGCCUCUGUGAGAUCUGUGGCACAGCCUAUAAAUCUUUUUUUGCUUCCACCAUUUUCCAAAGCAUCACUCACUCCUCUUGCAUCGGAAGGUUGCCAGAUGUUAUGGAACAAUCCCAGUAGAUUCAUGAACGUUGCUAGAUUGUCUAUCGGAGCAUACAUUCGCCGUGGAAGAAAAGGCCCAAAGACAUCAAAAAUCAUCCGAAUGAAUUCCACUUCUGUGAUGUUUGGGACGAGCAACUUCUGAAGUAUGAAUAAUGGAAGUUGGUUUUCAAGUAACAACAGGUCCACCAUAAAUCUAUUCAACAUAUGAUUCGACCCUAUAAUAACGUCUAUUCGAUCUAUUGGAUCAAAUCUAUACAUUCUGCAUAGAAACUCAAUAAUAAAGCAGCCAUCAAGAAGCAUCAUUUCUACAAAAUUUUCUGUGGUAUGUGAGACAGGUUCUGCAUAGCUAUUACGAGCAUUUACCUCCAAAUC